CCUGCGCCUGCCGGCGACCGGCGCACGGGUGAGUAACACGUAUGGAACCUGCCCGCCACAGGGGGAUAACCCGGGGAAACCCGGCCUAAUACCCCAUGCCGCCCGGACCGGCAUCCGGUCCGGGCGAAAGGAGGAAUCCGGUGGCGGCUGGGCAUGCGGCGCAUUAGCUUGACGGCGGGGUAACGGCCCACCGUGGCGACGAUGCGUAGGGGUUCUGAGAGGAAGGCCCCCCACACUGGAACUGAGACACGGUCCAGACUCCUACGGGAGGCAGCAG
rnacentral:rRNA from 1 species